rnacentral:lncRNA from 1 species
UGUGUAUGUGUGUGUCUAUGUGUGUGUGUGUGUGUGUAAAUAUUUUCUUUUCACAAAAGUUGCCUUAGUGUCUUGUGAGGAAAGAGUUGUAUUAAUGUCGUUCCAUUAUUGAUACUUUCAAAAGUGCAAUACUAUUGAAGAAUAGAGUUUGAUUCUUGACAUUAAUCAAUAUUAAAAUCUCUGUUUAGUUCUAGAAGCUAG